UUUCCUUUUAAUCGGCUGUGAUUUAAAAUAAAUGUAAAUCGUCAUAAUCAUUCAGCUCCAUAUGCUGGGAGAGGAAAAGUCACCUUAAACCAGAUGCAUAUUUUGAGAAAAAGAGAAGACGAGUUGUUCUAAGGAAACAACGUAUGGGGGCAGAUCUUAAGCUGGGGUAAAGAUGGGCUGCCCUCUGGAAGUCAACUUAGCUCUGAUGAUUGACACCAGCCAAAACCAGUCAGCAGUUUUAAGACCUGGAGUUUUUAGGGAGUUUUCUGUGGAUCCAUGUAUUGAUUUCCUUCUUAGGCGAAGCCAGGGAUCAUGCCUGGGAGAUUAAUGUGAUGAGGAUGAGCCUGCGAAGCCUUUGGUCCUCCUUGUGUGAGCCUGCUCUGCUUGCUCAUACACAGCACACCUUUGGGAACUCACUGCAUAAGGCCCUCUUGUACUGCCAUGAGCUAAGGGGAGCCAUUUUCCUGCUCCACGCAGGCUGCCCUGUGUUCUUGCUGGGGGAACAAGGCCACAACACCCUUCACCCUGAGUUCAACAGCAGUGCUUUCCAGGGGGUGCCUUGGGGCAGGAUGGCAUGAGUAGCUGGAAAGCCACAGCAGAGCCUAGCCCUGCGAAAAGGCAUUUUCACAGCCUCCCAGGGAGUGCCUUCCUUGCCUCUAGUUAAGAUUUAUACCGACUGCCGCUCUGCUUACUACGGUUGAGAGGAUGGGUGAUAUGGCCUAACAGGGUGGAAGUAUUGAUCGAAAUGAAACUUUGACAAAUGGCUGGAACAGAAUCUUGAGAAAGUUCCUUGACUGUUCCUUUCCAUUCAAAAAGAGAAUUUCAGAGUAAAUUUGAUCAGUUCAAUUGUUCAAAGGAAAUGGAAAGAACAGGAGAGUGGAAGUUCAGUAGUAGCAGGAACACAGAAGUCAUAAGGCUGACCUAGACAAUGGGAAGAUGCAGAAUAUUUUAGUAACGUGCUGUAGUAACUGUCACCUGCAAAAUGUCCAUCAGCACUUCUGCAAAUUCUUUCCACCAUUCUCAACAAGAUAACAAAAGAUAACUUUUCGGACCACAAAGCUGAAACACUUCCUGUGACUCAAAUGGCUCCAGCACAGCUAUUUCCUAGAAGACAUCCUCCCUGAUUUCUUGUGGUGCCUGUUAGAUUGCUGAAGUUGCAGUGCAGAGAUAAACCAGAUACCAGAAUAGAGGAACGUUUCUCAGAAGGACCAGUGAGACAUCUCCUGACCUCUGUCUCCAUCUGAGGAUAUAUCUGGAGUAGAGCAGAGAAGCAGAGGCACCACAGACUACAGAUACCCAUGGGGAAUGUUGUUCUGCCUCAAGGUUCAGCUCUACAAUAUGGCCAUGGACCGUAUAUACCCAUAGGUUCCUGUGAGUGGGUGAAGUGGGUGAGGGUUUAGACAGAGGCUGGGAUGAGUCUGAAGGGAUGCUGAUCUGGGUGGUGGGGGACUGGGACUCCAUGGCAUACUGUCACAAAUCAAAAGAUAAGUCUAGUUACAGCCAUUCAGCCUUUGAUUUUCUCGCCUUCCUCCUAAACUAUUUUCCCAAGAACUUAUUUGUCUCAGUCUGCGUUUUCCUUAUCUGCAGACAGGGCUAUGAGGCAUACCAUACUACAAUGAAUAUGGGUACUCACUCCAUGCUGGGCUGUGGGAGAAAGUUUUGCACAGCUCUAGUAAAACAGGUGAACAGCUACAGGUUUGAAAAGCCUCCUAGCCUUCCCUGAACCUCAAAAGGCCCAGUGUAGGAUUCCUCACCCAUCCUGAUUAUCCAUAAGUAGAUCAGACAGCAUCUCAUUUCCUAGACACAAACAUUCAGCGGUGUUCUGCAGUUGCUUCAAGAGUAAAGAAAAUUCCUCCUGGCUCCUACUGAGCAGUCACUGGCAUUGGUCAACCAUAGCACACCUUGUCUUUGCCAGAAGCCAGUAUCAGACAAUAUGAAAGGGAACUGCCCCCUCCUUCCUGUGUAUGUAAAUGUAUAACAGUUUACCACGGAAGAUGAUGCCUUUCUGACUCCAUCUACUGACUAGCUUUUACCAAGAACUACUGACACUAUUACAUAAUACUUGUUAGUAAAACUCUCACAGAUUUUUUCAAGGCCAGGAACAACCAUUAUUAUCAUCCAG
ensembl:lncRNA